rnacentral:tRNA from 1 species
GCCGCGUUCGUCUAGUGGCCUAGGACAUUGGGUUUUCAGCCCAAGAAUCAGGGGUUCGAAUCCCCUACGCGGUA